rnacentral:rRNA from 1 species
ACUCCUGCGGGAGGCAGCAGUAGGGAAUCUUCCACAAUGGGUGCAAACCUGAUGGAGCAAUGCCGCGUGAGUGAAGAAGGUCUUCGGAUCGUAAAGCUCUGUUGUUAGAGAAGAACACGUGCUAGGUAACUACUAGCGCCUUGACGGUAUCUAACCAGAAAGUCACGGCUAACUACGUGCCAGCAGCCGCGGUAAUACGUAGGUGACAAGCGUUGUCCGGAUUUAUUGGGCGUAAAGGGAGCGCAGGCGGUCUGUUUAGUCUAAUGUGAAAGCCCACGGCUUAACCGUGGAACGGCAUUGGAAACUGACAGACUUGAAUGUAGAAGAGGAAAAUGGAAUUCCAAGUGUAGCGGUGGAAUGCGUAGAUAUUUGGAGGAACACCAGUGGCGAAGGCGAUUUUCUGGUCUAACAUUGACGCUGAGGCUCGAAAGCGUGGGGAGCGAACAGGAUUAGAAACCCUUGUAGUCCCAUG